GUACUCCAGGAAUUAAGCUUGCACCUGAGCAGUCUGUGUAGGACACACGCUCUGGUCUGGACCAAGACACCGUUUUUGCUUCUCUUGGUUCUGCCUCAGAACUGCCUCCCUCCCCAGUCCCUAGAUUCAAACUCUGCAAUUGUGCGGGUAGUGGAGCACUGGUUGCAGCAUACGGACAUGUCCUCAGCGCUGCGUUAAGCUAAACUSUAUGUUGAGGCUUGGAAUCCAGUUUUUGUCCUGCAGAGUUUAUCCCACACAUCAGCAGGCACCAUGGCUAACUGAGGUGAAUGCUUGACAUGACUGAUGGAAGGAGAAAACAGAUGUGACCAACUGAAAAUCCCACUUCCCCCGGAGGAAGAAAGAGGCUAACACAUUGAUGCUGGAGUCUGAUGGAUCUGUCUGCCUGACCUGAGCAGCAGAGAAAUAACCAAAGGUUAUCUUGGCUGAGUGAUGUGACUCACCAAGAACAGAGAUGUCAUCUCGCUGGAAGGUUUCUUGCAUGAAUACAGCAACUCUGUCAGUCCUGCUGAGCUGGCUACUGAGAUGAUCUAAGAAGAAAAGAAAACCCAGAACCAUUU